CACGAAGCUAAAUGAAAUGCUACUUUAUUGACUUGCUGUGUGUGAUUACAGGUGUGCAGUGCAGUACAGAACCAGGACUUCACAGUGAUCGAGGAUUACUGUGUGGGUCUGAAGGCCUUGUUGUACCUAAAGAGCCUGGAGCUGAAGGACUGGGACGGCCAGUCUCCUCCGACAGAGAGACACCAGAAGGGGAAACCAGUUCCCAGACUGGUGGACCUGGUGGGAAAGAGCCUCCCGAGCUUUGGGCCGUACCUCCAGCAGAGGACAGACGCCAUCGCAGAGUACAAGAGCCUUUGU